AAUAAUUUUUUGGGCAGUUCUUUUUUGGUGAAAAGUGAAAUUCGCCCACUGUUUUUACCUUCUCACUUCAACUUUACCUUUUCACCAGAUCUGGCUCAUUGCAUCCCCGGCGAUUCCUCACUGCUCGUCGAAGGUUGUCAUUUGCCUCCGUCGUCAUAGCUUGUCAGUGCUACUCGUCAUCGAAGUCGACGAAGGUCGCUGCUGCUCAUUGUCUUCGAAGUGGUCGAAGGCUAGCUGCCGCGCACUGCUGCUCGUCAUUGAAGUUCAUGGUUGAAGUUUGUUGCUUCUCAUCGUCAACGAAGUGGUCAAAGGCUGCCGUUGUUGCUCGUCGUCGAACUAGUCUAUGGUCGCCGUUGCUCGUCGUUGUCGAAGUGUGCUAUUGCUCACUAUCGAAGUUUGUCAUUGCUCUUGAGUUGAUCUCAUGGUUGAAGGAUUUCCGUUGAAGGUUGCUGCUUGUUUGAGAAAAAGAUCCUGUGGAGAGCAAUAAUGGCAUGAAUGAGAGGCACGCAGCCAGGGAAGAUGAUCAAGAAGAGGAGGUUAAGCUUAGUAUCUAAGUGUUUAUUUUCUAUCUUUUCUGUCUUGUGUGUCUGAGAUAUUACAUUAUAUGUAGGAGCCUUAAAAUUUUUCUUGACUAUGAUGGAUUUCUCAUUUCAUGACUUAUUAUCUAUGUGUGUAUGAUGGAUUUAUUGGGUUUUAAAACUAUGUGUGAGAUUGAAAUAAUUGUUUAAGUGAUGAA